UUGACUGACACUCCCCAUUUCCACCAAGUCUGGGGUAGACUACUCCUAUGGGAUCCCACAACAACUAUAAUUACCCCUAUUGGAGCCCUAAGUACAUUUUACUGCAAUUGCCUGUUUAUCUGUCUCUUGGCCAUUAAAUAUAUAAGCUCUUUGACCUGCUUGGACAUAUUUGUAUCCUGAGCAUCCAGGAGACCCUCAAGAGUUCACUGAGGGCUGGGCAGAGUGGCUUGCACCUGUAAUCCCAGCACUUUGGGCGGCCCGGGCGAGAGGACCUCAAGCCCAGAAGGUUGAGGCUGCAGUGAGAUAUGAUCAUGCCACUGCACUCCAGCCUGGAUGACAGAAUGAGACCCUGUCUGUUAAAAGAAAUUCUGUCUCCAUUGUUAUUGAAAUGUUAGAAUAUUAGAAGCAUAUUCUUUCUCACACCAAAGUUACUGGCUUCAGGAUCUGAGCCAGCUGAUUUCUAUGGGCACUCUCUCCUGGAAAACAUUAGGGUGCUUUUUGGAGACAUGGAGGGCUGUGUGUUUAUUUUUAAAAAUUCAUUUCCUAGGCCAGGUGUGGUGGCUCACACCUGGAAUCCCAGCACUUUGGGAGGCUGAGGCGAGUUUAUCAUCUGAGGUCA
rnacentral:lncRNA from 1 species